rnacentral:rRNA from 1 species
UACGUAGGGGGCUAGCGUUGUCCGGAAUCAUUGGGCGUAAAGAGCGUGUAGGCGGCCCGGUAAGUCCGCUGUGAAAGUCGGGGGCUCAACCCUCGAAUGCCGGUGGAUACUGUCGGGCUAGAGUGCGGAAGAGGCGAGUGGAAUUCCCAGUGUAGAGGUGAAAUUCGUAGAUAUUGGGAAGAACACCGGUGGCGAAGGCGGCGACCUGGUCCGUUACUGACGCUGAGGCGCGACAGCGUGGGGAGCAAACAGG